UACAGAGGUCCCAAGCGUUGUUCGGAUUCAUUGGGCGUAAAGGGUGCGUAGGCGGCGCGGUAAGUCGGGUGUGAAAUCUCGGGGCUUAACUCCGAAACUGCAUUCGAUACUGCCGUGCUUGAGGACUGGAGAGGAGACUGGAAUUUACGGUGUAGCGGUGAAAUGCGUAGAUAUCGUAAGGAAGACCAGUGGCGAAGGCGGCCUUCUGGACAGCAUCUGACGCUGAGACGCGAAAGCGUGGGGAGCAAACAGG
rnacentral:rRNA from 1 species